rnacentral:tRNA from 1 species
CAGGGAGACAACCAAAUGUUUAAUUUUAUUAUUUUGUCACCUUAGGUCGAUCGGUAUCUCACGUUCUUAAUCAUUUAAGAAUUUCAUUUCCUAAGUUUUUCUAGGUCACACCCAUUAUUUUUCCUGGGCCAUUAGCUCAGGUGGUUAGAGCGCACCCCUGAUAAGGGUGAGGUCCCUGGUUCAAGUCCAGGAUGGCCCAUAUCUCUAUGUUGGGGGUAUAGCUCAGUUGGUAGAGCGCCUGGUUUGCAAGCAGGAUGUCAGCGGUUCGAGUCCGCUUACCUCCACUGAUUACCACCUCUGUCAUAAUUUGCAAAAGGAAAUAUUUUGAGUUGUGAUCAAUCUGAACGAUUCUAGCUUCCUAAUGAAUUCAUUAAGAUGCUGGACUCAUUGAAUUAAUUUCAUUGUUUUCAGAGAACCUUGACAACUGCAUAGAUUAUUUUUAAAGACAAUAAGCAUCUUUAAUGAUGCAGAUUUAUUAUUUGUGCGAAUGCAUUAAUAACAAUUCUAUUAAGCUGAUGCUUCAAUUUUUGAAGUUAUU